AGAGUUUGAUCCUGGCUCAGGAUGAACGCUAGCUACAGGCUUAACACAUGCAAGUCGAGGGGAAACGAUAGAGAAAGCUUGCUUUUUCUAGGCGUCGACCGGCGCACGGGUGAGUAACGCGUAUCCAACCUGCCCACCACUUGGGGAUAACCUUGCGAAAGUAAGACUAAUACCCAAUGACGUCUCUAGAAGACAUCUGAAAGGGAUUAAAGAUUUAUCGGUGAUGGAUGGGGAUGCGUCUGAUUAGCUUGUUGGCGGGGUAACGGCCCACCAAGGCUACGAUCAGUAGGGGUUCUGAGAGGAAGGUCCCCCACAUUGGAACUGAGACACGGUCCAAACUCCUACGGGAGGCAGCAGUGAGGAAUAUUGGUCAAUGGGCGAGAGCCUGAACCAGCCAAGUAGCGUGCAGGAUGACGGCCCUAUGGGUUGUAAACUGCUUUUAUAAGGGAAUAAAGUGAGUCUCGUGAGGCUUUUUGCAUGUACCUUAUGAAUAAGGACCGGCUAAUUCCGUGCCAGCAGCCGCGGUAAUACGGAAGGUCCGGGCGUUAUCCGGAUUUAUUGGGUUUAAAGGGAGCGUAGGCCGGAGAUUAAGCGUGUUGUGAAAUGUAGAUGCUCAACAUCUGCACUGCAGCGCGAACUGGUUUCCUUGAGUACGCACAAAGUGGGCGGAAUUCGUGGUGUAGCGGUGAAAUGCUUAGAUAUCACGAAGAACUCCGAUUGCGAAGGCAGCUCACUGGAGCGCAACUGACGCUGAAGCUCGAAAGUGCGGGUAUCGAACAGGAUUAGAUACCCUGGUAGUCCGCACGGUAAACGAUGGAUGCCCGCUGUUGGUCUGAAUAGGUCAGCGGCCAAGCGAAAGCAUUAAGCAUCCCACCGGGGA
rnacentral:rRNA from 1 species